rnacentral:sRNA from 1 species
CUGGGAUUACAGCUCCUGGCCUGCGCGGCUUCCGGAUCCUUGGUCUGCGCUCCAGCGUGGGCCCGGCUGUGCAGGCACGAAGUGUCCAUCAGAGCGUGGCCACCGAUGGCCCAAGCAGCACCCAGCCUGCCCUGCCAAAGGCCAGAGCCGUGGCUCCCAAACCCAGCAGCCGGGGCGAGUAUGUGGUGGCCAAGCUGGAUGACCUCGUCAACUGGGCCCGCCGGAGUUCUCUGUGGCCCAUGACCUUCGGCCUGGCCUGCUGCGCCGUGGAGAUGAUGCACAUGGCAGCACCCCGCUACGACAUGGACCGCUUCGGCGUGGUCUUCCGCGCCAGCCCGCGCCAGUCCGACGUCAUGAUCGUGGCCGGCACACUCACCAACAAGAUGGCCCCAGCGCUUCGCAAGGUAGGCCUCGUCCCAGCCGCCCAGCCGCCCCCAGAGUGAGCUGCGCACGGACCCCGCCUCUCUUCCAGGUCUACGACCAGAUGCCGGAGCCGCGCUACGUGGUCUCCAUGGGGAGCUGCGCCAACGGAGGAGGCUACUACCACUACUCCUACUCGGUGGUGAGGGGCUGCGACCGCAUCGUGCCCGUGGACAUCUACAUCCCAGGCUGCCCACCUACGGCCGAGGCCCUGCUCUAUGGCAUCCUGCAGCUGCAGAGGAAGAUCAAGCGGGAGCGGAGGCUGCAGAUCUGGUACCGCAGGUAGCGCCGCCGCCGGAGCCUGUCGCUGUCCUGUCCCCAGCCUGCUUGUGUCCCGUGAGGUUGUCAGUAAACCUGCCCUCGGGCUGCCGCC